CUUGGUCAUUUAGAGGAAGUAAAAGUCGUAACAAGGUUUCCGUAGGUGAACCUGCGGAAGGAUCAUUAAAGAAUGCCCCGUUUUUUGAAAUGGGUUCUAUUCCCAAACCGUGUAUACAUACCUUUGUUGCUUUGGCAGGCCGCCUUCGGGCGUUGGCUCACGCUGACCGCGCCUGCCAGAGGACCCAAACUCGUUUGUUUAGUGAUGUCUGAGUACUAUAUAAUAGUUAAAACUUUCAACAACGGAUCUCUUGGUUCUGGCAUCGAUGAAGAACGCAGCGAAAUGCGAUAAGUAAUGUGAAUUGCAGAAUUCAGUGAAUCAUCGAAUCUUUGAACGCACAUUGCGCCCCUUGGUAUUCCGAGGGGCAUGCCUGUUCGAGCGUCAUUAUGACCACUCAAGCCUAGCUUGGUAUUGGGGUUCGCGGUCUCGCGGCCCUUAAAAUCAGUGGCGGUGCCAUCUGGCUCUAAGCGUAUUAAUUUAUCUCGCUAUUGGGUCCGGUGGUUGCUUGCCAACAACCCCCAACUUCUAAGGUUGACCUCGGAUCAGGUAGGGAUACCCGCUGAACUUAAGCAUAUCAAUAAGCGGAGGA
rnacentral:rRNA from 1 species